rnacentral:tRNA from 1 species
GUAGACGUUAGCUCAGUGGUUAGAGCACAGGCCUGUGGCUCUCGGGUCCGCGAGUUCGAGUCCCGUCGUCUACU